rnacentral:lncRNA from 1 species
UUGAAAGCAACUACUGGUAUACUUUAUUGAAAUUCUUGUAUGAUCCACAUAAAUUGGUAUGAAGUCUAGCAAUUACAUGGAAAGGUUUUCUAACAUGAUGGUGUAACAUGACUUUCACUUUAGGAAGGGGGGAACACAACAACACACUCCUCCAUUCUCCUUAGUGCCCCUCAUAGCCAUGUAUUUUGCACUCUUCGUUGCAGUAAUCCAAGGCAUACUCAAAUGAACUUGCGCACACGGAGAAAUGAAAGAAUAGUUUUCCAUGUGGAGUCUUGGUAGCUAAACACAAUGCAGUAAGCACCAAAACAUAUAAAUUUAUACAUAUGAAAUACAUGACCCAUAUUCAUUUUGGCAUGUUAAUUAUCGAGAAACUUGUCCAAGAAAUGUAUUCAGAAAUUACCUAUAUCCCUCCCUCCUGUAGCAGGGCGACACAAAAAAGUGGUACACGUCAACAGAAGAGCAACAAAACAGAGAAUAUGUGUGUUCUUCUUGAUAGAUGCCAUGAUCAACACUGGCUUGAUCUUACUUAUUUUCUCUUGAUGUUUUCCUUCUAUAAAU